UCCUUCGGGGGGCCGCCGUCGGGAAUAUUGCGCAAAGGAGGAAACUCUGACGCAGUGACGCCGCGUGCAGGAAGAAGGUUUUCGGAUUGUAAACUGCUUUGACAGGGAAGAAACAAGACAGACC
rnacentral:rRNA from 1 species